rnacentral:rRNA from 1 species
UACGGGGGGAGCAAGCGUUGUUCGGAUUUACUGGGCGUAAAGGGCGCGUAGGCGGCCACCGCAAGUCGAUUGUGAAAUCUCCGGGCUUAACCCGGAAAGGUCAACCGAUACUGCGGGGCUAGAGUGCGGAAGGGGCAACUGGAAUUCUUGGUGUAGCGGUGAAAUGCGUAGAUAUCAAGAGGAACACCGGUGGCGAAGGCGGCCUUCUGGACAGUAACUGACGCUGAGGAACGAAAGCUAGGGGAGCAAAUGGG